ensembl:snoRNA
UGGAAGUGAUGAGCUGUUAUCUGAAUUUUGUGAUGAAAAUUAACAAUUUCUCUAGAUAGUCAAGUACUGAUCCAG